GCCAGCCCCUGUGCCACCGAAGAGGGGGGAUAUUGAAAACAUGUUACAGCCAGGAGCGGUGCCCCCUUGGUUCAAGCAGUUCUUCUGCCUCAGCCUCCCUAAUAGCUGGGAUUACAGGCGUGCACCAUCACGCCUGGCCACUGUUAUGUAGUUUUUACCACAAUUUAAAAAAGGAAAGAGUGCCUGGGUGAGUCCUACGCACCUAUUCGGAGAACCAAAGGCUUUGAGGUUAUCCUCGGCCCACCCAUCUGAUGGGAGUGUUUCUCAAACUUGCUUUUCCGUGAUCUCCCAGUAAGAAAUACCUACUACACACACACAGUCUCCGGUCGGCAUGCUUAGGGUAGUCUUCCAAUUCCCCCUCCUGGUAUUUACACCCUGGAGUGGUCCGCUCCUCUUGGGCUGAACCUGUAACUUGCUCCCAAGCAAGAGCACACAGCAAGCUCACGCACGUGGUUGUUGGUGUGAUUCUGUUUCUCCAGAUUGUCUCCAUUCCUCCCUGGCUUCUCCACAGGGCCGCUCACCAUGGCAGCCGGCUCCAUCACCACCAGCCAGCGAGAGGGCAAGACAAGAGGGCUGACGAGGGACGCUACCAUCACAGAGGAUUAUAAACACUAGUCAUAAAG
rnacentral:lncRNA from 10 species